UAGUAAAAUUAUUACAUAACUUUGUCGAAGUUAAUUUAUAGGUUCAACUCCUAU
rnacentral:tRNA from 1 species